AACGAACGCUGGCGGCAUGCCUAACACAUGCAAGUCGAACGAGACCUUCGGGUAUAGUGGCGCACGGGUGCGUAACGCGUGGGAACCUGCCCUUAGGUUCGGAAUAACUCCCCGAAAGGGGUGCUAAUACCGGAUAAUGUCUUCGGACCAAAGAUUUAUCGCCAUUGGAUGGGCCCGCGUUGGAUUAGCUAGUUGGUAGGGUAAAAGCCUACCAAGGCGACGAUCCAUAGCUGGUCUGAGAGGAUGAUCAGCCACACUGGGACUGAGACACGGCCCAGACUCCUACGGGAGGCAGCAGUGGGGAAUAUUGGACAAUGAGCGAAAGCCUGAUCCAGCAAUGCCGCGUGAGUGAUGAAGGCCUUAGGGUUGUAAAGCUCUUUUACCCGGGAUGAUAAUGACAGUACCGGGAGAAUAAGCUCCGGCUAACUCCGUG
rnacentral:rRNA from 1 species